rnacentral:rRNA from 1 species
GAUGAACGCUAGCGGCAGGCCUAAUACAUGCAAGACGAACGGUAAGUUGAGUAGCAAUACUUGACCAAGAGUGUCGUAAGGGUGCGUAACACGUAUGCAAUCUGCCCUCAACAGGAGGAUAGCUCCCCGAAAGGGGAAUUAAUACUGCGUAAGAUUGUAGUUCGGCAUCGGACAGCAAUUAAAACCGAGGUGGUUGAGGAUGAGCAUGCGCAUGAUUAGUUAGUUGGCGGGGUAACGGCCCACCAAGACGAUGAUCAUUAGGGGAACUGAGAGGUUGAUCCCCCGCACUGGCACUGAGAUACGGGCCAGACUCCUACGGGAGGCAGCAGUAGGGAAUAUUGGACAAUGGGUGCGAGCCUGAUCCAGCCAUGCCGCGUGCAGGAAGACGGCCUUCUGGGUUGUAAACUGCUUUUGCCAGGGGAUAAAAAGUCCCUGCGGGGAAAAUUGAAGGUACCUGGUGAAUAAGCCACGGCUAACUACGUGCCAGCAGCCGCGGUAAAG